rnacentral:rRNA from 1 species
CCGCUGGAACUUAAGCAUAUCAAUAAGCGGAGGAAAAGAAACCAACAGGGAUUGCCCUAGUAACGGCGAGUGAAGCGGCAACAGCUCAAAUUUGAAAUCUGGUCCUCGCGGCCCGAGUUGUAAUUUGUAGAGGAUGCUUUUGGACAGGUGCCUUCUGAGUUCCCUGGAACGGGACGCCAGAGAGGGUGAGAGCCCCGUAUAGUCGGACACCUAGCCUCUGUAAAGCUCCUUCGACGAGUCGAGUAGUUUGGGAAUGCUGCUCAAAAUGGGAGGUAUAUCUCUUCUAAAGCUAAAUAUAGGCCAGAGACCGAUAGCGCACAAGUAGAGUGAUCGAAAGAUGAAAAGCACUUUGAAAAGAGGGUUAAAUAGCACGUGAAAUUGUUGAAAGGGAAGCGCUUGUGACCAGACUUGUGCCGGGCUGAUCAUCCAGUGUUCUCACUGGUGCACUCGACCCGGCUCAGGCCAGCGUCGGUUCUCGCGGGGGGAUAAAAGCUUCGGGAACGUGGCUCCUCCGGGAGUGUUAUAGCCCGUUGUUUAAUACCUCCGCGGGGACCGAGGUUCGCGCUCUGCAAGGACGCUGGCAUAAUGGUCAUCAGCGACCCGUCUUGAAACACGGACCAAGGAGUCGAGGUUUUGCGCGAGUGUUUGGGUGUAAAACCCGCACGCGUAAUGAAAGUGAACGUAGGUGAGAGCUUCGGCGCAUCAUCGACCGAUCCUGAUGUAUUCGGAUGGAUUUGAGUAAGAGCGUAUAGCCUCGGACCCGAAAGAUGGUGAACUAUGCCUGAAUAGGGUGAAGCCAGAGGAAACUCUGGUGGAGGCUCGCAGCGGUUCUGACGUGCAAAUCGAUCGUCAAAUUUGGGCAUGGGGGCGAAAGACUAAUCGAACCAUCUAGUAGCUGGUUACCGC